UACGGGGGGUGCGAGCGUUGUCCGGAAUCACUGGGCGUAAAGGGCGCGUAGGUGGUUUGAUAAGGGUGUGGUGAAAGUCCGGAGCUCAACUCCGGAUCUGCCGUGCCGACUGUCAAACUCGAGGGCUGUAGAGGCAGACGGAAUUCCGGGUGUAGCGGUGGAAUGCGUAGAGAUCGGGAAGAACAUCAGUGGCGAAGGCGGCCUGCUGGGCUGUUGCUGACGCUGAGGCGCGACAGCGCGGGGAGCAAACAGG
rnacentral:rRNA from 1 species